GUUUAACGAUUAAGUACAUACAGCAGUUUAUUGUUAAUGUACACACUUUCACAAUAGGUCACAUACAUUGCAGAAAAGUACAUAAUGAGAAAAAAUAUUACUCAUAAUAUAGCAACAAGAGGGCUAAAAAAAUUCUUCAAAUAUAACCCACUACCUGUUGUCUACUGAGGAAUCUUUAUUAGAACUGUUUGAAUUAAGAACAUGGCUCCACGUUUGUCGUUGUUCUUUUGUUUUUUAACCUUAAUUCACACUAGUACAUUUAGGAGGAACACUUUCACUCCUCACUAGAUAUUAUUUAUUUCUCACAUGCUUAACUCACUAGUUCAUCAAAUUCUGAAGGAUAACUUGAUGUCAUCUUCAUUAGCCAACCAACUUCAUAACAAGGCUUGUUGAAUAGCCCUGAAUUUUUUGCAAAUAUUCCAUUCAGUUAAGUUACUUUUCAAGAGAGCAGACAAUAGAGUUCACUGGCAGCUUUCCCACUUUCCAAGCAUCAAACACAUGUUGCUUUUCUAAUUUUGUACACUUCAGGCAGAUUACACUUAAAAAAAAAAUGUGCCCAAAGCUUUCUGCACAAAAUUGUUGAUUCCCCUGUUCCAAUAUACUUUCUGUAGUUAUCUCUUAGUGUUUAUUUGUUUAUUUAAACAGAGAGAGAGCAGAGCAUUGGUCCACAGGAUCAGGCAGUGCAGGCCUUCAGUCAGAAGAACAAGAAAGCAGCAAACAGAAGGUUCCCAGGCUGCACAAGCUGCCUGUUUCUCCCCUAAUGUCCCUUGCUCUGCCUUGUUCUCAAGGGACAAAGGCUAUCCAUAGUAGUACUGCUCUACAUUAUGCCUGUGCCUUUGGCCACCCAGAAUUGGUGGCUUUUUUAGUGAAGAAAAAAUGUAAUGUUUACCUCUGUGACUGUGAUGGCAACACACCAUUGAUGAAGGUAGAUGUAGCCAAGGAUAUCUGCAGAAAAAAAAAUGAUAGAAAUGCUUAGAAGAAAAAUUGAUUAAUUAUAUUUAAUAUGAUUAAUUAGUAAAACAUAUGAAAUGUUUUUCUUGGA
rnacentral:lncRNA from 1 species